GCCUUUUGAGGGGUCCCAGGAGCCCCCCCACUGUUGUUGUUGCUGCCGGGGCAGUGAGUCACGGCCACGCCCGGACUGGGAGCACUGGGAGCACUGGGAGGGGUUGUGCUGGGGCACUGGGAUGAGCUGUACUGGUGUUACUGGGAGCCCUGGGUCAGUCUGUGCCUCAUUACUGGUGUUACUGAGAGCAUUUGGACAGACUGUACUGGUGUAACUGGGAGGACUGGGAUGGACUGUGCCGUGUUACUGGUGUCACUGGGAGCAUCAGGAUGUGUUACUGGGAGUCAUAAGACGAUGCCGGUGACCCUGGAACUGCGGCUCCUUCUGCUGGCGCUGGCGCUGCGGGGUGAGGCAGUGUCCCCCUCGGUGUCCCCCUCGGUGUCCCCUGCCGCGUCUCCCCCCGAGCCGCCCUCCGAGACGUGCGGGGCAGCGCUGGCCGAUGUGCUGCGGCGGCUGCGGGAGCUCGAGGGACACGUGCAGGCGCUGAGGGGACACUGCGGGGACACGGGGGGGCCCCAGGCCGGCACAGGUAACAGGGGGCGAGGAGGAGAACACGGGGGAGAGAGGGGAGCACAGGGGGGGCAAGAUCGGAAGCGCCC
rnacentral:lncRNA from 12 species